rnacentral:rRNA from 1 species
UGGGGAAUAUUGCACAAUGGGGGAAACCCUGAUGCAGCGACGCAGCGUGCGGGAUGACGGCCUUCGGGUUGUAAACCGCUUUCAGCAGGGAAGAAGCCUCACGGUGACGGUACCUGCAGAAGAAGUACCGGCUAACUACGUGCCGGCAGCCGCGGUAAUACGUAGGGUACGAGCGUUGUCCGGAAUUAUUGGGCGUAAAGAGCUCGUAGGUGGUUGGUCACGUCUGCUGUGGAAACGCAACGCUUAACGUUGCGCGUGCAGUGGGUACGGGCUGACUAGAGUGCAGUAGGGGAGUCUGGAAUUCCUGGUGUAGCGGUGAAAUGCGCAGAUAUCAGGAGGAACACCGGUGGCGAAGGCGGGACUCUGGGCUGUAACUGACACUGAGGAGCGAAAGCAUGGGGAGCGAACA